rnacentral:rRNA from 1 species
GAAUAUUGGCCAAUGGGGGGUACCCUGAUCCAGCCAUGCCGCGUGUGUGAAGAAGGCCUUUUGGUUGUAAAGCACUUUACGCGAGGAGGAGGCUACUCUCGUUAAUACCUAGAGAUAGUGGCCGUUACUCGCAGAAUACGCACCGGCUAACUCUGUGCCAGUAGCCGCGGUAAUACAGAGGGUGCAAGCGUUAAUCGGAUGUAGUGGGCGUCAAGCACUCCUAGAUGGCCAAUUAAGUCAAAGUUGAAAUCCCCGAGCUUAACUUGGGAAUUGCAUUCGAUACUGGUUGGCUAGGGUAUGGGAGAGGAUUCUAUAAUUCCAUGUCUACCUGUGCAAUUCGUAGCCAUCUGGACUCAUUCCCCUUGCGAACGCAGCCAUCUGGCCUAAUACUGACACUGAGGUGCGAAAGCAUGGGGAGCAAAC